CUGGAACUGUAGUUAAUUUAUUCUAAGCAGGACACAAUUACAGCUUCCUUUUUGUUUUCCUUCCACAACCCACUUCCACUUAAAUAUACACUAUACGGCCAACGGUUUCUGCACACCUGACCAUCACAUCAUACCGUAUGUGGGCCUUCCUCAAAAUUGCCGCAGAGACGCACACAGUGGUCUAGAAUGAUCGUGUAUGCUGUAGCAUUACCAAUUUCCUUUCACUGGAACUAAGAAGCCCAGCCGAAACGUGUUCAAGCGAGAUCAUGAAAACAUGGUUUGCCAAGGUUGGAGUGAUUCAACACAAAGCCUUGAACGUAAUCACAUUCAACACCUUCAGGGUGAACCGGAACACUGACUGCACCCCAGGCCUCCUGGCAUGACGUCAGGAACUGACCUCACUAAAGCUCUAGUGACUGGAUGAGCACAAAUCCCCACAGCCACACUCAAAUCUAGUGGAAACAACAAAGGGGGCCUACAUCUGGAAUGGGAUCUUGGGUAUGAUAUUCAGGUGUCUACAAACAUUUGGCCACAUAGUGUAUAGUACACUAUAUGUAUUUGCUAAUGGUAACCAAAAUAUUGGCUAAAAUCACCACUAUUGUGUCACAUAAAAAAACAUUAUCUUAAUGCCUACUGUGAUCCCAAAGGAAAUUGCUCAAGUUCAAUUCAAAUUUCUUUUUGUAUGGUGCUUUUAGCAAAGCCUUGUUACAGAAAUCCAGAUGUAUAUUUUAAUUCCUAACAAGUCAGAGCUGACAAUGACACGUAAAAUCUCCCCGAGGCAACGUGAAGAAGAAACCUUUUAGAGGAACCAGACUGAAAAGGGAACCCAUUUUCAUCUCGGUAACGCCAGAUAAUAAGGGAGCAUCAUUAUGGCUCCCGCUAUUCUCACGCUCCCGUGAUGAGCACAGCACACCAUUUAUGAUUUCAGCAGCAGGUAUUGUGUUCAAAUCUACAGCAUCUAUGUGAGAAUAACCAGCAAGAGUGAGUCUUGGGUAUGAACUUUUAUUUUUUAGAAGCAGAGCAUCAGGAUGAAUCCGGCAGAACGGCAGCGUGAGAGGAGCCAUGGUAAAAGUGUAUCAGGUCAGACGGUGCAUGUCUGAGUAGGAGCGCAUGUCAACUCCGUUCCCAUUUACCUGAAACGAUGCUUGAUAUUUGAAAUGAGACCCUCGCUGACUGUGACUCUGGGCAGUGAUACAACUGUAUGCCUGCAUUGUUUUACAUCACCACUAGAGGACGCCCUACAUCGCUGUUACAAGGAAAGCAAGUAAGAUGGAGACUGAAGAUCAACACUAUACAUGUAAUAAUCUAAUGGUACAUGUACUAUUCUUAA
ensembl:lncRNA